GUGCUUGCUUCGGCAGCACAUAUACUAAAAUUGGAACGAUACAGAGAAGAUUAGCAUGGCCCCUGUGCAAGGAUGCGUUCCAUAUUUUAAAAAAAAAAGUAAUAAAA